GUAAAGAGGAUGGGAGCGGUCAACCUAAUCGAAUACCAUUCGGAAGUCCAUAAAGGACACAUAAGUUGAUUGUUUUCUUUCAGCCUUCGAGAUAUCACUUCUUUUAAUAGUGGUGUGGUCUGGCACGUACUUUUUCCUUCUGUAAGUUUAAACUGCAAGAUCUGAAGAAGGACAUCAAUCUUGAUUUUUUUGUCACGUAUGUAGAAGGAUGGCCAAAACUUGGCGCGAGUUCCGAAAUAUUAACCGUUUUAAAAGGUUUAAAGAAAUUUUGUGACGAAUAAUUGAAUAAUGAACAAACGGGAACUGUAAUCCGUUUCUUUUGUUUGUUGAGCGAUGACUUAAGUCCUGGAUGUCACUAAACAUAAAAGUUGUCCUCUGGGUCGAGUUGGCCUGGUUUGGGUCGACCAAGGUCAAGUUGUCUGGUCACUGUUUUACUCACUAUACUGAGACUACGAAUCGUCGAGUAAGGAAACACUUCUGAGCGAUAAUAUUCACUAAUUUUAGGAUAUACGGAAUGCUCUAAUCAGUUAUCGCUCUCAAGUCACAGAACACAACGCACGUUUUAAGCCCGAUUAGGAUUACUCAAAUCACAAGGACGAAGGCCAAAUGUCAGAAGACAGCACAACACAAAGGCAAGGUCUCAAGAGUCUAACUACCAUAAGUGGAAAUAAGACUCUUGAAUCAAAGGACGAUGGUUCAACAGAAAGCUAUGAUGAUCAGACUUCGAAUGAGGAGAGGAUGAAAGAGCUGGAUGCCUGGUGCAAAGCAAUUGACGAUUAUUCCAAGGCAUAUAAUGAACACUUUGUUUCAGUUUAAUUCGGCAUGUCAUUUCUAAGUUUCAAGCGUUAAAGAAUGCCUCUUUCAAAAAUAAAUUUUUGUCCUUGA